rnacentral:rRNA from 1 species
UACGAAGGGGGCUAGCGUUGUUCGGAAUUACUGGGCGUAAAGCGCGCGUAGGCGGUGAUCUUUGUCAGAGGUGAAAUCCCGAGGCUCAACUUCGGAAUUGCCUUUGAAACGGGAUCGCUUGAGUCCGAGAGAGGAUGGCGGGAUUCCUAGUGUAGAGGUGAAAUUCGUAGAUAUUAGGAAGAACACCGGUGGCGAAGGCGGCCAUCUGGCUCGGUACUGACGCUCAGGCGCGAAAGCGUGGGGAGCAAACAGG